rnacentral:rRNA from 1 species
GAUGAACGCUGGCGGCGUGCCUAAUACAUGCAAGUCGAGCGAACAGAUAAGGAGCUUGCUCCUUUGAAGUUAGCGGCGGACGGGUGAGUAACACGUGGGUAACCUACCUAUAAGACUGGGAUAACUUCGGGAAACCGGAGCUAAUACCGGAUAACAUUUAGAACCGCAUGGUUCUAAAGUGAAAGAUGGUUUUGCUAUCACUUAUAGAUGGACCCGCGCCGUAUUAGCUAGUUGGUAAGGUAACGGCUUACCAAGGCGACGAUACGUAGCCGACCUGAGAGGGUGAUCGGCCACACUGGAACUGAGCCACGGUCCAGACUCCUACGGGAGGCAGCAGUAGGGAAUCUUCCGCAAUGGGCGUAAGCCUGACGGAGCAACGCCGCGUGAGUGAUGAAGGGUUUCGGCUCGUAAAACUCUGUUAUUAGGGAAGAACAAAUGUGUAAGUAACUGUGCACAUCUUGACGGUACCUAAUCAGAAAGCCACGGCUAACUACGUG